CCUACGGGUGGCUGCAGUGGGGAAUAUUGGGCAAUGGGCGCAAGCCUGAUCCAGCAACGCCGCGUGAAGGAAGAAGGCUUUCGGGUUGUAAACUUCUUUUAAGAGGGGAGAGGAGAAGACGGUACCUCGUGAAUAAGCGACGGCUAACUCCGUGCCAGCAGCCGCGGUAGUACGUAGGUGGCAAGCGUGGUCCGGAUUUACUGGGUGUAAAGGGCGUGUAGCCGGGAUGACAAGUCAGAUGUGAGUUCCGGGGGCUCAACCCCCGAACUGCAUUUGAAACUGUUGGUCUUGAGUUUCGGAGAGGCAGGCGGAAUUCCUAGUGUAGCGGUGGAAUGCGUAGAUAUUAGGAGGAACACCAGUGGCGAAGGCGG
rnacentral:rRNA from 1 species